rnacentral:rRNA from 1 species
UAGGGAAUUUUCCACAAUGGACGAAAGCCUGACCCAGCAACGCCGCGUGAAGGAUGAAGUAUUUCGGUAUGUAAACUUCGAAAGAAUAGGAAGAAUAAAUGACGGUACUAUUUAUAAGGUCCGGCUAACUACGUGCCAGCAGCCGCGGUAAUACGUAGGGACCAAGCGUUGUUCGGAUUUACUGGGCGUAAAGGGCGCGUAGGCGGCAAUUCAAGUCAUCUGUGAAAUCUCCGGGCUUAACUCGGAACGGUCAGAUGAUACUGCUUUGCUAGAGUGCAGAAGGGGCAAUCGGAAUUCUUGGUGUAGCGGUGAAAUGCGUAGAUAUCAAGAGGAACACCUGAGGUGAAGACGGGUUGCUGGGCUGACACUGACGCUGAGGCGCGAAAGCGUGGGGAGCAAACAGGAUUAGAUACCCCUGUAGUCCCUGAGCGGGCUGGCAAGGCGCAU